rnacentral:rRNA from 1 species
GACAGAGGGUGCAAACGUUGUUCGGAUUUACUGGGCGUAAAGCGCGUGUAGGCGGCUUUGCAAGUCGGAUGUGAAAGCCCACGGCUCAACCGUGGAAGUGCAUCCGAGACUGCAUGGCUCGAGUCUCGGAGAGGAAGGUGGAAUGCUUGGUGUAGAGGUGAAAUUCGUAGAUAUCAAGCAGAACACCUGCGGCGAAGGCGGCCUUCUGGACGAUGACUGACGCUGAGACGCGAAAGCGUGGGGAGCAAACAGG